UACGUAGGUGGCAAGCGUUGUCCGGAUUUACUGGGCGUAAAGGAUGCGUAGGCGGACAUUUAAGUCAGAUGUGAAAUACCCGAGCUUAACUUGGGUGCUGCAUUUGAAACUGGGUGUCUAGAGUGCAGGGGAGGUAAGUGGAAUUCCUAGUGUAGCGGUGAAAUGCGUAGAGAUUAGGAAGAACACCAGUGGCGAAGGCGACUUACUGGACUGUAACUGACGCUGAGGCAUGAAAGCGUGGGGAGCAAACAGG
rnacentral:rRNA from 1 species